rnacentral:rRNA from 1 species
GGGGAAUAUUGGACAAUGGGCGCAAGCCUGAUCCAGCCAUGCCGCGUGGGUGAAGAAGGCCUUCGGGUUGUAAAGCCCUUUUAUUGGGAAAGAAAAGCAGCCGGCCAAUACCCGGUUGUUCUGACGGUACCCAAAGAAUAAGCACCGGCUAACUUCGUGCCAGCAGCCGCGGUAAUACGAAGGGUGCAAGCGUUACUCGGAAUUACUGGGCGUAAAGCGUGCGUAGGUGGUGGUUUAAGUCCGUUGUGAAAGCCCUGGGCUCAACCCAUAUCAGCGUUCAAAGCUGCUUUUCUUGAGUGAAGUAGAGGUUGGCGGAAUUCCUAGUGUAGCGGUGAAAUGCGUAGAUAUUAGGAGGAACACCAGUGGCGAAGGCGGCCAACUGGGCUUUUACUGACGCUGAGGCUCGAAAGCGUGGGGAGCAAACA